rnacentral:rRNA from 1 species
CGUGGCGGACGGGUGAGUAACGCGUGGGUAACCUGCCUCAUACAGGGGGAUAACAGUUAGAAAUGACUGCUAAUACCGCAUAAGACCACAGCACCGCAUGGUGCAGGGGCAAAAACUCCGGUGGUAUGAGAUGGACCCGCGUCUGAUUAGGUAGUUGGUGGGGUAACGGCCUACCAAGCCGACGAUCAGUAGCCGACCUGAGAGGGUGACCGGCCACAUUGGGACUGAGACACGGCCCAA